rnacentral:rRNA from 1 species
GACGAACGCUGGCGGCGUGCCUAAUACAUGCAAGUCGAACGCACUCUCGUUUAGAUUGAAGGAGCUUGCUCCUGAUUGAUAAACAUUUGAGUGAGUGGCGGACGGGUGAGUAACACGUGGGUAACCUGCCCUAAAGUGGGGGAUAACAUUUGGAAACAGAUGCUAAUACCGCAUAAAACCUAAACACCGCAUGGUGUAGGGUUGAAAGAUGGUUUCGGCUAUCACUUUAGGAUGGACCCGCGGUGCAUUAGUUAGUUGGUGAGGUAAAGGCUCACCAAGACCGUGAUGCAUAGCCGACCUGAGAGGGUAAUCGGCCACACUGGGACUGAGACACGGCCCAGACUCCUACGGGAGGCAGCAGUAGGGAAUCUUCCACAAUGGACGAAAGUCUGAUGGAGCAACGCCGCGUGAGUGAAGAAGGUUUUCGGAUCGUAAAACUCUGUUGUUGGAGAAGAAUGUAUCUGAUAGUAACUGAUCAGGUAGUGACGGUAUCCAACCAGAAAGCCACGG